rnacentral:rRNA from 1 species
UACGUAGGGUCCGAGCGUUGCCCGGAAUUAUUGGGCGUAAAGAGCUCGUAGGCGGUUUGUCGCGUCUGCUGUGAAAUCCCGAGGCUCAACCUCGGGUCUGCAGUGGGUACGGGCAGACUGGAGUGCGGUAGGGGAGAAUGGAAUUCCUGGUGUAGCGGUGGAAUGCGCAGAUAUCAGGAGGAACACCGAUGGCGAAGGCAGUUCUCUGGGCCGUAACUGACGCUGAGGAGCGAAAGCGUGGGGAGCGAACAGG